UACGGAGGGUGCAAGCGUUAUCCGGAUUCACUGGGUUUAAAGGGUGCGUAGGUGGGCAGGUAAGUCAGUGGUGAAAUCUCCGGGCUUAACCCGGAACUGCCGUUGAUACUAUUUGUCUUGAAUAUUGUGGAGGUAAGCGGAAUAUGUCAUGUAGCGGUGAAAUGCUUAGAUAUGACAUAGAACACCAAUUGCGAAGGCAGCUUACUACACAACGAUUGACGCUGAGGCACGAAAGCGUGGGGAGCAAACAGG
rnacentral:rRNA from 1 species